GGUCCAGUAGCUUAGCCUGGUCGAGCGCCCGCCUGAUAAGCGGGAGGUCCGGGGACCGAAGCCCCGCUGGACCACCA
rnacentral:tRNA from 1 species